rnacentral:tRNA from 1 species
UCGGGUAUGGUGUAACGGCUAACAUUGCCGCCUCUCAUUUCCAUUAGAAGCCGGAUCGCGGCAGCUCGGGGUUCGAUUCCCCGUACCCGAA